GUUGCUUCUUGGCCUAUUAGCUAAGAUCAAGUGUAGUAUCUGUUCUUAUCAGUUAGUCCUCAGGCUGUGCAGCUUCUGGCAGUGAGCUCUGCCUUUGAGGUCUAAGUUCGGUGUAGUCACCGCCAUUCUGAGCCUCCGCAUGAUUUGCUCAAGAGUAAUCGAUG
rnacentral:snRNA from 1 species